AGUCCAACUAACUAAAUAACUUUGAACGCAUGCCAUCUGUCUAAAAUAUUUCUGAAACUAUACUGUUUGGCAAAUUUUACCUAGAAAAGAUAGAAAGAAGAGAGAUGAGAGACCUCUGCCGGCAGAGAAGAGAGAGGAGAGACCUCAGCCACUGCAAAGCUUCUCCCCGCUGUCUCGCCAACCUUGUACCGGCGGCACCGUGGUGGUUCCGCCGCACCGUUCAAUGCCCAGCACAUGGUUAUGGCUAGCAAUGGAUAGCAUUAUUCAAGAGAGAUGGUAGCAAAAGUAUCCAGGUCCCCUUGAAUAUGGAAGUAGUAUGUGUGUCUGCUUUACUAGGUUAUGGCUAGCAAUGGACUCUGGGAUGUUGUAAGCAAUACAGAUGUUGUAAACAUAAAUAGGGACACCAUCAAACAGCCCGGAAUGUGUGCUAAAAGAUUGGCGACAGAAGCUGCAGAACGAUGCAACAAAGAUAACAUCACAGUAAUUAUUGUUUUCCUGUGUCCAGUGUCUACUGCUGAGAGGAGACAUUCCUAAGUUGUUACUAUUGCAAAGCAUAAGAGGAUUUUGUUUAAGUCUGAGUGUUAAUGUUGGAAGUCACUUACAGAGACUAUAUAUGUAUGAGUACUAAAAAAAUGGUUUGUGAUAUAAUAAGAAUGGAACUAGUAUUCUGCUUC